ACAAACUUGGUCAUUUAGAGGAAGUAAAAGUCGUAACAAGGUUUCCGUAGGUGAACCUGCGGAAGGAUCAUUAAUGAAUCAGUAAUACCGGCAUAUGCCACUUUCAGUGGUGUCGGUCUAUCUCUGACCAUUCACUGUGUGCACACAUCGAAAUCAUGCUUUGGCAGACUCUCCCCUUGGCCUUCGUGGUUGGGGGGGCGCUGGGUGUUCGGGCCCGAGGUCUGCCGAAGGUAUCUUUAUUCAACCAUAGCCUGAUCGCUUGUCUGAAUCAUAUAACAAUAAACCAAUACAACUUUCAACAACGGAUCUCUUGGCUCUCGCAUCGAUGAAGAACGCAGC
rnacentral:misc_RNA from 1 species